CUAUUAUGUACGUCGUACGUGUAAUACAUAAUUGAGAGUAUAAUAGUAUAGGUAGGUACUUAAUUUAAACUUCAAACAGCAACUAUUAUGUACGUCGUACGUGUAAUACAUAAUUGAGAGUAUAAUAGUAUAGGUAGGUACUUAAUUUAAACUUCAAACAGCAACUAUUAUGUACGUCGUACGUGUAAUACAUAAUUGAGAGUAUAAUAGUAUAGGUAGGUACUUAAUUUAAACUUCAAACAGCAACUAUUAUGUACGUCGUACGUGUAAUACAUAAUUGAGAGUAUAAUAGUAUAGGUAGGUACUUAAUUUAAACUUCAAACAGCAACUAUUAUGUACGUCGUACGUGUAAUACAUAAUUGAGAGUAUAAUAGUAUAGGUAGGUACCUAAUUUAAACUUCAAACAGCAACUAUUAUGUACGUUGCAAAGACCUAAAGCACACAUAACUAAGCUCAAGUGAUUAUCUUACUAUAACAUACAGAAUUAAAACUUACCUAAGAUGUAUAUAACUAUGGAAUAUCGAUUGUAUAAUGUGUAAUAUAAUUCAAAUGUUUUAUGCUGAAUUAUUUCCACAUACAAAUAUUUAUGUACC